GAUGAACGCUGGCGGCGUGCCUAAUACAUGCAAGUCGAGCGAACGGACGAGAAGCUUGCUUCUCUGAUGUUAGCGGCGGACGGGUGAGUAACACGUGGAUAACCUACCUAUAAGACUGGGAUAACUUCGGGAAACCGGAGCUAAUGCCGGAUAAUAUUUUGAACCGCAUGGUUCAAAAGUAAAAGACGGUCUUGCUGUCACUUAUAGAUGGAUCCGCGCUGCAUUAGCUAGUUGGUAAGGUAACGGCUUACCAAGGCAACGAUGCAUAGCCGACCUGAGAGGGUGAUCGGCCACACUGGAACUGAGACACGGUCCAGACUCCUACGGGAGGCAGCAGUAGGGAAUCUUCCGCAAUGGGCGAAAGCCUGACGGAGCAACGCCGCGUGAGUGAUGAAGGUCUUCGGAUCGUAAAACUCUGUUAUUAGGGAAGAACAUAUGUGUAAGUAACUGUGCACAUCUUGACGGGACCUAAUCAGAAAGCCACGGCUAACUACGU
rnacentral:rRNA from 1 species